rnacentral:lncRNA from 1 species
AGUGCAAAGGUAUGCUCAAAUGCAAUGGUGAUUGGACAUAUUGACCAAAUAUAUUUCAUACCUGCACACAACUGCUAUGAUAAAGGUAAUACAUGGAAUAAGGUUGCUCAUAGCAGCUGCAAUAGCUGGUGAAGUGUAUUCCAGUCCCAUGUAAUUCAAUGUUCUUCCCAACACUCCUCUGAAUUACACAGGAAGAUGCAGAAAAUUAAUAUCAAUUUUCAUUUGUCUGAUAAUUGUCCAACAUUAGUUGGGGAUGACUUGUUAAGAGGUUAACAAUUUACUCACCCCAGCAGGCCCAAGAAGAAGACAUUUCGAAUUAUCGGAACACUGAUUUUGCUCUCAUUUUUCCUGCACGAGAUAGGUUAUGGUUAAUCAGACGACAGAGGAUACUGUUCAUAUUGGAGGGGGUGCCAUAUUUUUAUGCAGGCUAUGGAUGAAAUCAAAUGGAAGUAAUUAGAAGAGUUGUGUUGCAAACUUCUAACAAGGCAACAAAUAAAGAAAGAGCUUUGGACUUUAGAAUCUUAGGACCAUGAGUUAUAAGAAGAAUGAAAACUAAUAGACCUCUCAAAAAGAAGUGCAAGAAGAGCAGUUGCUAGCGUUCCAAAAGCAUGGCCAUAAACCACAAGCACAUAACAGCUCAUGCCUUUGUCUAAAGAGACCUUAAUGACAACAGGGAACCCAGCAAAGCAGAUGUUAGCAAAUAUACAAAGAAUGUAAGGUUUUGACACCUCCCUCUUACUGCUUCCUCCUUUCGCCCUGUCGUCCUGCUCUUCCGUUUGCAUUUCCAUUUUCAUUUAGCAUGUUGUUUUCACCAUGACCCCAUUUUAUACCAAUUUGGGGGAAUUUAAGGAAGAAAAUUAUCUGCUACAGAUAAUUCUGUGUUUCCAGAACUCCUAAGAAGUUUUAUCAAGUUACAACUUUCUACCAAUUAAUCUACUUAAUUUAUUUUUGUGGUCAGCAUCAGCAUCAGUCUUAAUCUCACUUACAUACUCAACAUCAUACAUGACUUUCUCUUUGUCCUUCUGAUUGAUUUCAACACUCACCAAUCUUUCAUUUCCACAUACAACAUCAUUUGAUUAUUGUGACUUUUCCAAACAUUUUGUAGUGUGACUUUUCCAAACAUUUUGUAGAAGAAACGAAAACCCGCGAUUGGAGGAUGGUUCUAAUAUUCUUUACUUAUAUGAAGGGACACUUGAAAAUUUGUAGAGAUUAACCAUUCAAGUUCAAACAUUGCACCAAUAAUUUUCCCUUACCAGAACUAAAUUGAUUUUGAUAAUUGGGAUCACAUUUCUUAUAGAAGAAAAGAACAUCAAUUAUUGAAGAUUGGUUCAGAUAUAUCACAACAUAAAGGAACAGUAUCCAUUUGGGGGAUAUUUCUGUGUUCCUGAUAUAUCACUACUUACUUUCUUCUUCUUUGUUUUUUUUUCUUUUAAGAAGAGGAAAGUGCUUUGUGACACCUCAAGAACUAUUAUAAGAAGUGACUCAAUUAUGAGUUGGGUCUUACCAUAAGUUCCUCCUUAUGCGUUGUAGUUUUUAAUGUGCCCAAGCAGUGUUUUAUCAAGUUACAACUUUCUACUAAUCAACCUUUUAUUUGAUCUAAGCAGCUUGCUCAGAUAUGGCAUUGGCAAUGCUCAAAAUAGCUUCUUCUCCCUUUCUGGUUUGCCUUUCGCCCACGAAAUGUGUACGAGCAGUUAUCUAUGUAACUCACACGAUACUGAGAAUGUUCAAGAGUUGAAAGUGUAGGAUACCACAAUUCAAGAAUAUGCUCCUUCGCUGAGCAAUAGAUACAUGACUUAGAAUGCAUGCCCAACCAAAUAUGAAGAAGCUUGUAGGCUUAAAAGACUGUAUGUCUGUCUGUCAUUCAGGUUGAAUGAAUAUGAAUUACAGAGCAUGCUCUUUUUCUUUUGUUAGUUGGUUCCCCAAUAAAAAACAAUCCAAUAGUGCCAACAGGGCCUAGCCAAGUAUAAAAGAGUCUUAACUUGCAGGCUAAAAAUUUCAUGUUUGAAACCCAUAACAUCUUGAUUGAGCGUAUGAAAAAUCAUCUCCCUUAUAGUUUACUAUCAUUUGUGCUUUAAAAAAAACAAACAAACAAACAAUCCAGAGAAAUAUACAUAUUUUUUUAUGAUAGAGAAUUUGUUUUUUUUUCAUAGAACAUGUAUAGUGGGAGAAAAUUUCACAGUUCAAUCAACUCACCAACAAGCUAUUCUCUUUCCAAUAAUAAGUACCCAAAUGAGUGUUGUUAAACCCUUUUUCUAAAACCCUGCAAAUUAAAAUAAAUAAAUAAAUAACUUAAAAUAAAAUAAAAAUAAAAAACUCCAAAUCAAAAGCAGCCUCCUUCACUCCCCCUCUCUCCAUUUUUCUGAUUCCUGAUCGAAGCAAAGCAGUGAACAUGAGUGCCUAUCUCUCUCUUCGCCACCGCUCUUUCACUUACCUCAAUCGCCACCUCACAUCCUCACCCUUCUCCACCACCACCUCCAAACUCCCCACCCUUUACGAACCAGCUGCCGCCGCCACCCAAAACGACGACGUCCCCACCACAACCCUCCAACUCCUCUCAUGGGGCAGAGGCGCCUCGGGCCAACUCGGCGGAGGAAUCGAAGAACUUCGUCUCUACCCAACCCCUGUCGCCAACCUCGUCGUUCCCGCCUCAUCCUUCACCCUUUCACCAACCCAAGGCCGAAUUCAAAUACCCAAUUGCUCAGAAACAAAGAACAAUGCCCAUGGCAGUGUUGUAGAGGUGGGUAUUUCUUGUGGGCUUUUCCACUCGUCGCUGUUGGUGGAUGAAAAGCUCUGGAUUUGGGGUAAAGGCGAUGGCGGUCGACUUGGGUUUGGACAUGAGAAUUCUCUGUUUCUGCCCACUUUGAACCCGCAUUUGGAUUCGGUUCGCUUCGUAGCGCUUGGUGGAUUGCAUUCUGUUGCGCUCACCUCCCUCGGCCAGGUCUAUACUUGGUCAGUACAAUAGUAAAGACUAGGCAUUUCUUGCAUUUCAUCACAUGUUGAGUCGCAUUACAUUUUGUUGAUUGCAAUAGUUGGGUUCUCUUGUUUUGGUUUUUUUAUCUGCACAAACAUUUAUGCUUUUUUCUUCUUGGAAGAAGAAUAGCAAUAUGGUUGCAAUGAGCAGAUUCCGUCCAUAGCUUGUAAAGUUUGUAUCAAGGGUAAUAGUUUCUAGUCUCGACUAUGUGCAAUUCAAGGUGGUGUUUGAGGAAGAACUGGCCCAAUUACAUUUGCUUGUCAUGUGUUGAAAGACCGAUUUGCUAUUUUAACUCUCCAACCCACAUCAAUUUUACCACAGUCCGCUUCUUCUAUCCAUUUGAUAUAAUUAUUGUUUUCAUGUCCACUGCAAAUCUUUUAUGUUCAUUGACCAUAUUGCUCUAUUGAUUCAUGCUUUUGGUUGGAUAACUUCAUGGUUGUCGUUAAACAUGAAGCUUGCAGGGGUUAUGGUGGUUUUGGUGCACUUGGACAUUCUGUUUAUACUAGAGAAUUGUUCCCUAGAUUGGUGGAAGGCUCAUGGAGUGGGAAAAUACAUCAUAUUUCAACUAGUGGGACACAUACUGCUGCAAUCACGAAAUCAGGUUUGUUACUGGGAUCUUUCAUUGGAGUAAAGUGGUACUGUCUGGGUGCAACAAAUUAAUGGACUCUAACCAAGAGGAUAGGAAUAACUUAAACUAGUAGUGGAAGUAUGUUGCAGAUGACAUGCUUUUUCGGUUUCUUACUCCUUUCUGGCUUUAAGCAUUUAUUGUUGUUUCCGGGAUGAAGAUUUAUGUUUACGUGUUUGAUUUGUCAUUAGAUAUCUGGGUAUUACUCAUUGGAUGUAGCAUGUAGGAGAACUUUAUACUUGGGGUCGAGAUGAAGGGGAUGGUAGAUUGGGACUUGGUCCUAAUCGGGGCCCAAAUGAGGGUGGUGGACUAAGCAUACCCUCCAAAGUAAAAGCAUUACCUGUGCCUGCGGCUGCUGUUUCUUGUGGAGGGUUUUUCACAAUGGUACUGACAGAAGAUGGGGAACUUUGGAAUUGGGGAGGUAAGGUUGUCACAUCUCAUGUGGAAAACUUGUUAUAAAAGAGUUAUUUAUAAACCACCACCACCCCUCCCCCCCCCCCCCAAAAAAAAAAACAACAACAACAAAAAGCAUGGAUUGACCUAAUAUACUGUAACAACAUAAUUCCAAUGCCAAAUAAGUGUUAUUAAAUUAUUGUAAGAAAUGGUGUUAUAGUUUUCAAAUGUUCUCCCAGAUAUUUGCUUCAUUAGUCAAUGAGCUUGUGCAAAUGAAUUUCAAUUUGCAGAUUUGACAAAUGGAGAUUGUCAUAAGGGGGUGGUAUUUAGUUUAUUUUAGAGAUCAUAAAGUCAUUGGUACUUCUAUAAUGAGUAGCAUUCUUGUUACUCUUCAGUAAGGGGUUAUCUAAUUGGCUCUUGAUGUUAUUGUCAUCUUUGACUUUGACUGACUUCUAAUUGCUCCACUUUUGUGAAGCUAAUUAUCGUGUUUUCUUGGUGUUUACUCAGCAAACUCUAACUAUGAGCUUGGAAGAGGCAAUAAGGUUGGUGGUUGGCAACCAAAACCAGUUCCUAGUCUUGUAGGUGUCCGUAUCAUUCAGAUAGAAAGUGGUGGAUAUCAUUCUCUUGCGUUAACUGGUAAUGUGACAGCCGUGUCUCAUGAUUGCAGCAACAGCACUUGCUGUCUUUAUUUCUUGAAAGGUUAAGUCUUAUGUAUGGCCUUUCUUUCUUGAUGUUUAAUUUUUUUAGAUGAAGGUAAAGUGCUUUCAUGGGGACAUGGUGGGCAUGGUCAGUUGGGCAACUCUUCUAUCCAAAGUCAGAAAACACCUACAGUUGUUGAGGCUUUAACUGACGAGCGUGUCAUCUAUAUUGCUUGUGGAGGUUCAUCUUCAGCAGCUAUAACAGGUCAGAUGAUUCUUGUGUUCUCAGAUACUGUAAUCUAUUAGGUCUUAAAAAUAUUUUGUUACGUCGCUCAAAUGUGUAAAUGCUGUGCAGCCUCUAAUUACAUUCCACCAGGGUGUCUCUUUACAGUGAGUAAUGUGCUCCUGUAGUUGACACACAUGUUGAUUUUUUCUUUAACGAUUUAUUCAUCCAAUAGAAGAUUUGUAUUCGGCCAUGCCUUUUCAUUUGGUUUGCUAUGCGUUGGUAGUGUUGGGGAUUGAAACUGAGACCAAAAGAAAGGAUUAAUUUAGAAUAUUCUGGAAACAACUGAAGACUUAAAGGACAUCGGAUUAAGAGCAUCGAUAAUUCUUGGUUGCAUAAUUCAAGAACAUGGUUAGGCUGAUGUUCGGACCUGGUUCAAACUAGCUUACUUCAUAUUUUCAUGCAUUUCCGAUUUGAAAUUGAAUGCCCCCGCCUUUUGUUCCGUAACAGAUAAAGGAAAGUUGUAUAUGUGGGGAAACACCAAAGAUUCUCAAUUAGGAGUUCCUGGGCUUCCAGAGAUACAACCAUCCCCUGUUGAAGUCAAGUUCUUAAUGGAGGAUGAUGGAUUGGGACCCCACAAUGUGCUGUCUGUUGCAGUUGGUGCUUCUCAUGCCAUGUGCUUGGUUUCAAGGUCUGACUGUUUCAGUGUGAUAAUUAUUAUGAUUUUCUUUUUUCUUUUUUCUAACGUAUAAAUUCUGUAACAGGGAUGGAAUGUCCAACUGAGCUGAAAUGGAGGAGAAAAUGGAUGGAUAGCUAUGAUUCAGAGGUUAAACUGAUUCAAGAUGAUAAAUAUUAUUCAAGUGAGAAAGAGUAGACUUCUAGCCAGGAGAGAGUGAGAGACGAACAAAUGCUAUACAGGAGAUCAAAUGUGAGCACAUUUGAGCGCCAGAAGUUGCUGCCCCUACUCCGUCUGGCAUUAGUACCGCAACAAUUUGUGCAAAACUCUAUGAAACCUCACUUCGAAAUGCAACGGCUCAACGCCGUUCUGCAAGGAUAUGCUGACAAUUGACAGAACUCAGUUAUUGUAAACACAUGAGAGAUUUCCAGGUUCUUUAAAUUAUUGGCAGAGAUGUAGUGCCCCAUAUUCUCUCCGAGUUACUAGAAUGCCUCAGGCUGGGAAUUUGGCCCAACUCUUUACUUCGUUUUUGUACUACUUUUGACUGGGGCUGUUCAGAUACUAACUGCAGUUCAGAUGAAUAAUCUGUUCCAAAUCAAAAUAAACUUUGUUUUGUGUUCUCAUGAUUUCUUUACCUACUUGUGGGUUUUUGGAAGUGUUUUUUUCCUUCCCUUUUUGUGAUAUAUUUUUUGGGUAAAACCUGCAUACGGGUUGUAUCUGUGAUUAGCUUGGUACCUUCACCAUCAAAAAUGGACCCUACGGUUUCUAAACAUCAUGGUACAUUCACUUGGCUUGCCUUCACAGCUAUCAUCUGCUGAUGUGAAUGAGCCUUCACUUGUCGCUGUAUAAUGGAAACCCUAUGGUUUUGUAGCUUUCAUGACACAGUUGCUCAUCAUGUUCCUUGGCUCCGUCUUUCUUGUGGCCCCUAGAGCAAUUGAGCACAAGCAUUAACUUGUAGGAUUUCACUAAGAUUAACCGCCCACGUCCGCGGGUGAUCUAAUGUGAGUCUCUUAAUAAUCAAUGAUUAGAAAUCAUUUACACAUAUAGGCGACUGAUCUUAGCAUACUCUUAACCUAAAUAUAUUGAUGAUACGAAAUCAAAAGAAAGACCGUUGUCCUCGUCCACUCGUGACUAUUGGCUCUAGGUGGUGGCUUGGCUCUUGGGUAAACUUCAUUUUUUGCUCAUAAGAUGAAACGGGUUUUGGUUGUCUUUGAUCCCCACAGUCAAAGGAGACAGUGUGCACAAUGUGGACCACCAAGCUGCAUGCUGCGAUCGUUUGGUGCGUGACAAACUUCAAUCAUUUCACUAUGUUUUGGCUACAUCUUAUUCACACCUCUCACGACAAACAUUUACGAACGGGGCUUUGGCCCCAUUAAUAUUUGCCUCGGGCUAUGGCCCCAUUAAUAUUUGCCCCUUCCUUGCAUGAUUCCAAAUCUCAACGGAACGGAAGGGAAAUCACUACAGACACCCUCUUGAUUUGUCAGGUGUUUUUAUCACAGCAAUCGUGUAUGUACAUGACAUCUAGUAAAUAAUUUGUGUAAGUAGACGUAGGUGAGUUGGUCAGGUAGUAAAUCUGCUUUUUUACGCUCAAGUUUGAGUUUUAUUUUUACUAGCCUCUCUGCACGCGCUUCUGCGCAUGCGAGAGGUUUUUUUUAAAAAAAAUUUAAAUUUAUUUUAGAAUUAAAAAAGAUAAUGGAUAUUUGUGUUCCAUAAAAAUAUGAUCCAUUAUCUGAAUUUUCUUUUAAUUUUAAUUUUUUUAAUACGAAAAAUUGUGAAUUUACCAUAUUAUCCUCAUUUAAUUAAUAAUUUCAAUUCUUAAUAUUUGCAUUAACCAAGGGUAUUUUCUGGUAUUUUGAAUGUUUCACCAUUCUCUGCCUUUUGCUUUAUAUAUAUAGAUAAAUUAGAUUAAUUUAAACUAUCAUUUGCAUAUAAAUAAAAUAAAAAAAGAUAAUUUGUGUAAUCUCAUAUCUUUCGCUCAACACAUAGCACAUCGCAUUAUAAAAAUCAGAGGAAUGCUAUAAGACAGUGUGCGUCAAGCAUUAGAUUUAUGUGGAUUCAAAUUAUGGAUCUCAUUACUAUCGACAUUUGAGAGUUCACUUAGGCAAAUACAUUCACGCAUGCAACUCUCUCUAUUAUAACUUUGAAAACAAAAGAAGAAAAAAAAUAAAAAAUUCAAAUUGUAUCGUGUUACAAUUGAUGGUAAUGAGUUGAUUAUAUGAUCAGCUAAUCAUAUAUAAUUAAAAAUAUAUAUAUAGAAACAAAAAUAUACAACAAGAAAUGUAAAUUUUCUUUUACUAUUAACACGUAUGUCUGUCAUGGGACACUUCCCUUACAGGUUUACGCAAACAAAUAUGAACACAAAUCAAAACAAACGUUCAAAAUAAAACCCUAUAUGGAAAAUAAAAACUAAUAAUGUUAUGUAGGACAAGCUUCCCUAAUAUACGCUUAAUCAUGUUAAUUGCCGAUCAAUCACCAAUGUGUAUCAAGUGAUUGAUCCUAGCCGUAAGUGAACACCGAACACUGCGACGCCGGCCUCGACAGCUCCGUUCCCGCACUGGCCGGGCACGCCUCCAUCCCCACCUGGGGCACCAUGCAGUUGUAACUCAAGCACAACGACACCGUAUCGGGCAACAUCGACCCCGGCUCAACAUGGAACCCGGAUAAGUAAUUGUGCUGUAAAUACAAUGUUCUGGUGGUGCCCACGUACACGCUCUUAACGUACUCCCUCGGUACGUUCCCAAUCAGACGGUUGUUAUUCAAAAACAAGCUCUCCACCCCCGCCAGGAUCGGCGACAGCUCACCCGUUAUGGAGUUGUGGCUCAAAUCCACGAUCGAGCCCUCGCCGUAGGAUGGGGGCUGGGACUCCACGGGCGGGACCCACCCGGAGAGAUUGUUCCGUUGCAACAGCAGCGACUGGAGUGUGGUACGGAACAGAGUUUGAGGGAGGGGUCCACUGAGACGGUUCAUGCCGAGAUCGAGGUGGACUACAUCGGCGAGCGAGUCGAAGAGGGAGCCGAUGGGACCCGACAUUUCGUUUUCCGAGAACGACAAGUAACGGAGCGUCGUCGGGAGAGAGGGCGGUAAGGGACCGGUGAGCUUGUUGCGUUUUAAGUCCAGGUGAAGGAGUUGAGACAACACGUCGUGCGGCAGCUCGCCGGAGAGGGAGUUGGAGGCGAGGAUGAGGACUUUCAGAGCCGGUAAACGGGUCAGACCCGAGGGGAUUGACCCGGUGAGCCGGUUGUAGCUGAGGUCGAGGGUGUGGAGGUUGGAGAGGAGAGAGAUGGUCUGGGGAAUCGGACCGGUGAGGCGGUUGUUGGUUAACGAGAUGACUCGGAGGUUGGCGAGUCGGCCGAGUUGGAACGGGAUUGGACCUGUGACGAUUCCGGGGAAGAGGAUGAGCUGAGUCAACUCGGUGAGGUCGGCGAGGGAGGGAGGGAGCGACCCGGCGAGGCCGGGCGAGUCGGAGAGGCCAGUGCCGAGAGUGAGGGUGGUGACUCGGCCGGAGGUGCAGGUGACGCCGGAGAAGGUGGAGCAGGGAUCUGGUGCGGCGAAGUCCCAGGUGGAGAAGAAUGCUGUGGCACCUCGGAAGGGGACAUCGGUGAGGGAGUUCUUGAUGGCGGUGAGGGCGUGGAGAUCGACGGUGCUGAUUUUCUGGUUUUGUUGUUGAUGCGACGGUGGAGUGAGAUUGAGAAGGAGGAGGAGGAGAAGAAGAAGUGGAAGUGGGAGUGAGGAGUGUGCAUGUUGUUUGGCCGCCAUGACCAAAAAACCACGAGAGAGAGAGAGGAAGUCAAAAUUGGUGCGGUUUCAUGUAAACCGUAAGAAUGGGGUAUGAAGUGAUGAUGGAUGUAACCGUUGCCUUGCGUAAUGGCGUUAUGGCCCAACCCAUUUAUUUGAGUCACCUUUCUUGGACUUAUUAUAAGAGCGCUAGUUACUUCAUUUACUCGCUACAAUAAUUACCACUGACUACAUCUUUCACACCUGUAGAACCUUACUUGCACACAGUGUGGAUGAAUCUCACUCCAUUGCUUGAGACAGUCGUACCUCUCAAUUGUUAAUGCAUGUGCGGUUCGAAUUUCAUCAACGAUUGAAAAUCACUUACUCGUAUGUGUGAUUAUUUUCAAGCGAAAUCAAUGUGUAUAAUUUGAGUGUUUUACCCCUCGAAUUAAACUGAGAAUAGUGGUCCUCUGAGUUGGGCAACUUUUGAGGUGCAUAAAAUAUGUCCUCUAGGAUCACUCUUCGCCACUUUUGGUGGUUAGGACUUAGGGGUUGGUUAAUUGGUUGGACAACUUAGACUAAAAGUACUACUACUUAAGUGUUAGGCUUGGCUUUGCUGUCAACCUUUUUUUAGCAUUAUUACUUAAAAAAUUAAGAAACGUUUUUGCAAUUAAGAGAUUGAUGGAAUCAUAGUAAUGAAAAGCAGAGAAAGUUCACCCACCAUGACCAUUGACCAUGCUCUGUUCUCUUGUAAAUUCAGGUUUGAAUCUUUGCUGCCUGCACCAUUUUGUUCUUUUAGAGCAUGCAGAGCAGAUGGAUCUAAAAGAAAAAGACCCACUUGGGCCACUUCAUGCUUCAAAGAGCAAACUCUUUUCUUCCCAUUUCCCAACCAAUAUACAUAAAAAUGUAAGUUAAUUAGUGAUUAGAGCUAGCAAAACCAAGCACUUAGCACUAAUCCACACACCUGGUAGACUUGUUUACUGACAGUUAGUGAAUGACCUAAACUUAAUGCAGACAAAAAGUUGAUGAAAAAAAAAAAAAAAACAAGAAGAAGAAAAAGACCAGAGUCUAGCUGCUACACCGAUCACUGCUUCCCAACUUAGCUAUUAGUUAAUGGGAUGUCUUUAGAUGCACAUGGGGAGAGGUGUGGGCAAACAUCAAUAUUCACCCCAACAGUGGUCAAACUAUGCACGUACAAUAUUCUAAUUUUACCCAUAAAAUACAUUAGCAUAUAUAUAACACAUUGUUUAUUGCCAUUAAAUUAGGCACCAUGAUGCAUAUAUAGAGAUCCAUAGACAGCUCAGAUGGAAACUUCGUGACGCCACUGCGGGAAAGAUUCUCCCACUCCUCACUAAUUUAAUUUAUAUUGGGCAUUUUGUAGAUGUAGGUUAGGCUGAGUUAGAUCAGUUGGUAAUGGCAGUGAAUCCGUUCUCUUGCACUUAAGUUUGAAUCAAUGUCUUUGUAAAUUAGAUUAAUUUAGAAUAAAUUAUCGCUUGUAUCAAAAGUUCAUAUUGGGCAUUUAAGUGAGUACCAUGAGACAAGUAUUACCAAAAUAGAGUCAUUCUAUAAUGAGGGCUUUAUAUAUGGCCCUUAGAUGAGAUUCUAUCUUUAAUUGUUGAAUUAAAUUAAUUAAUUUUAUUCAACAAUUAAGAGAUAAGACAUCACGUAAAAGUUAUAUACAAGGCCCUCACUAUAGAAUUCUUGGACCAAAAAGAAAGAAAAAAGAAAGUUUUGAAGGAAGUUGAGCUUAGGCAGCUUUACGUGGGUGUGUAUAUAAAAGUUGACGACCCACCAAUGGAUUAUGGAUGGUCCACUGCUUUAGAGAAAAUGUUUUGGUGGAUCUUUCUCAAGCAGUGUGGGUAGGUCCAGUGCAAUUUUGUAAAAGGCUGCAAAAUGAGCAUGCCGCAUGUCCAAUAUAAUGAAGGAAUGAAUUGGAACUCAAGGAAUAUCUAGCUACCAUCACUACUAAGUUAGGAUUUUAAGUUGGUUUUUUAAGGCUACUUUUUGGGGUAAAAGAGCUCGAGACAAAGCUUGCAUGUUAUGCUAUGGGUUUUUUUUGUUUUUUUUAUUUAUUUUUUAUACGAAUGAUAUUGGGAAGGGAGGAAUCUAAUCUAGGACCAUAAGUGCAAAGGGGUAAAAUGUGAAGCCAGAAAAUUUGAGAUGUUAAGGUGGGUUGGGCCUCCAAAUGGCUCGGGUCCUACGUGCGUGGGAAUAUAUAUUGGGCUUUAUUUUCUUGAAGUCUACCAACAUAACCCUAAACAAAUUUAGGAAAAUAUAUGCAUGCAUGGUUUUAUCCUUCUCAAAACCGUUCAUAAAAAUUUACAAAUGCAGUAGAGGAUCGAGGAAUUCAAACCAUAAAUGCAGUUCCCUAUGGAGAGCUGAAAAUGCAGGGGUGAUCUUUGGUUCCAGGAAUAAAUAGUGAAACCAUUCUUCAACGAAAUGCUCACAGAGCUUCUAAACCAAUGAUUAUCCCCUCUUUCCCUAAUAACCAACAUAAGACAUCUAAACCAAAUGAAGAAAUGCUUUUACUAUCUAAACUAUCAACUCUCACUCACAUCACAUACCGAUGCUCAAAUGAAUUAUUACCACAAAGCCUUUCCCUAGCAUUGGUCAGUAGUAACACAAGCACAUUAAUCAUUUCCCUCUCUUUUCAACUUCUGACAUGUCAAAAAGAGAACAUUUCGUAAACAUACGCAGCCCGCACGCAAGCACACAGUCCUACACUACAUAUAUAUGUCCAUGAUUUUCUCAUAUUAGAAUCCUCUGAGAUGAGUGCCAGACUUUGUGCUAGGACCACCAACACAGUGCUAGCUGACCUCCCUCUUCCCUCGUCAUAUCAUCCUUGUAAUCCUGUUUAAGCAUCGAUUGAGCCGCUUGGUUGUUCGCACCAAUCACUGCAGCCUUCCAGCCAGCAUAGUUUCCACUAGGGUCACUCAAGUAAAGUUGAAAACCGAAAUUCUUGUCCCCAACCCGCAAACAAAAAUGAAACACCAAAGGGCCGGAGACCACCAAACUGUGUGUAGCCCUGCUUAGUAUCACAAAGAGAUUGAACAAGCUGCUCAACGGGCAUUGGUUCUUGGUACGCAAACAUAUAGCGCUGAGCCUGGACCCUAGAAGUGUUUAUCAGGAUGUUGGCAUCAGACAUUAUGCCAGCCACAGCACAAGCAACAUGAUCAUAAAUCUUGUGUUGGAUAUUUAUUCAUUAUUGUUAUUUGAUUUAUUUAGUUAAUUUGCUUCUGCUAAUAAUCCCUAUUUACCAGGAAACAUGGUUAGUGUUUGACCUGAUCUUUAGGAGAAUCCCAAUAGUCUAGGGUUGUUAGACGUGAGAUAUUUUGUUGCUUAAUUUUCUGAUUACUUGUUCCCUGUACGACUAUUUAUGCCAGUCUUUGGAGUCAAUGAAUGAUAGAACAUUCACUCAGACUUUCGCACUCUUUAGCUUUCAAAGUUCUAGUUCUUAACAUCUUGUACAUUUUCUCAGUGGAAGUUGUGGAGUGGAGGAGUUUGGAUGUGACUUUCUUCUCACCAACUAAGAUAACCCCAUCUUUUGACAAAAUCCCAAUUGCAGUACCCGCAUUUCCAAUGGCCUCCAUUGCAUACUCAACUUGGUAGAGACGACCCUCAGGGGAAAAGAUGGUUGUACGGCUAUCAUAUCUCCUAGACAUCUUUGAUAAUAACUGUGAACGUUUGUGAAAUAAUGGUAUUAAAUUUUAUCAUUUUUUUCUUCUGAGAUAAUGGUAUUCAAUUUAUAUAAGAUGAAACAAGGGAAACCCAGAAAUCCAAAUAUGAACACAGUUAAAAAUUCCAACAGCUCAAGGUUUUCUACAAUCCAACAAAGCCAAAUAGCAUCAAUUGGGUAGCAUACAUAUGUGAAAUACUGAAAAAUCACAAAUCAGAUGCAAUAAACAUUAAAAUUAAUAAUAAUCACAAGACGCAAAUUAAAAAUGAACUUGGUCGAAAUUGAGACAAUGUAAGCAGCCCCAUCGCACAAACUAAUUGAAAUGACAAUCAUACAAGAAUACGGGCCUUACCCAGUUUCGCUUGCUCUCUCUUGGUUCAGAUGCUUGACAAAGUUUACGCCUUUUGCCGCCUACUCAGCUCUCAGCUCCCUAUUCUAGUAUUCUUCUUCUUCCUCCCCAAGAAAUAACCAAGGCUUUGUUUGCUCUGGCAUCCGGGGCUCCGAGUAGGGGCCUUUGUAGAAAUUGGGUCAAAACUCUGAGGCCGAAAGUAUCGGCCUUUUUUUACACGGGUAGCCCAAACAUUGUUGCUUGCGCAGGUAACCCAAUAAUAUUCAAUUGUCUAGGCUCAACUAUUUCAGUGGACCGGAGUGUUUUUUAGGUCGAAAGUGGACCGGAGUUAAGUCCAGAUAUUUGAGGUAAAUCUUUUAGGGCUCGUUUGGUACGUCGGACUGUACUGACUAAUUUUCGUCGGAUAGUAUUAAUUUAUUUCGGAGAGUACUGACUAUUUAUCCAUAAUAUUAUAAGGCGUUUGGUGCUGUUCCGGAUAAAUAAUUUGACUAAGUUAUACUGUGUUUGGUGAUGUUUCAGAUAACAUCAUAUCAGACUAUUUAUAAAUAAAAAAAAUAUAAAAUUUUUUUUGAUAAUUUUAAUGGAAAUUGAGAUUCAAAUGACACAAAUUUUUUUUGGUAAGAUUCAUAUGACAAUAUUUGUUUUUCAAUUGUUUUUGCCAAGAUUUUUUUUCAUAUAACCCAUUAUCAUAAUUGUAGUAUCUCAUAAAAAUUCCAACAUACUCGCAUACGUUAAUAAAAACAGUAUCAAAUAAUGUAUAAUUCAAAGUGAUCACAUAUUAAGGUAAUAAGAGCAAAAGAGAAAGUUGUUCAUAAACCAAACUACAUCAAAGAGUGAAUCACAACUCCCUCGCCUCAAGUAAGAGAAAAACAAAUGCUUUUCUCAUAGCACCAUCCACUGUCAGGAAUAUUUUUUUUAUCAUUUGCUUUCUCCAAAAUUAGCCGUAGUGCCUUAAUUUGGUCAUUAAUAGACAAGUCCAUCUUUGCUUUUCUAAUAACAAUUGACAAAGAAAAAAAAAUGGUUCUUAGAAUUCAGUUUCAUACAUUUUUAAUUUUAUAAUUUUGCUCUUCUAGUCGUCAGGUAUGUAUGUAUUCAACUAAACUACCAAUACUAGCACAGUUGUUUGUUUUUGGAUGAAAACUGGCAAUACUCUGUUUAAUACCAACAAUCUAAAUAUUCCCACAACGUCGAAUCACUAUAUCACAUACAAAAAAAACAUUCGAUUAAAAAAAGUACCAAAAAAAAAAAAUUCAUAACCUAAUUUCUACUAAAAAUUUGAAAUAUAUAAAGCAUAUUGGAGAGAGUAUGAAAAAAGAGAGAAAGUGAGUGAUGGAUACCUGGAGAAGAGUGAAGAAAAUAACAUGUGGAGAAGAUAGUAGAGAACAACCCUAGGGAGAAGAAGAUGAAAAGAGCAUCUGAUUUUUUUUGUAGAACUCGUGUUCUUUUUCCCUAGCCUUAUAAUUAAGCGUGUAUUAUCUAAACCGGGGUGUGUGGGUUGUAUUAGUUAGUUAGGUAAGGAGAGUAUUAAAAGCCCAACCCGUAUAAAAUAGUCGGGUAAUUAAAUAAUACAAGUUGACACCAAACACCUGACAUAGACUAUUUACUCAUAUCCAGAGUCUAAUACGAUGUACCAAACGAGCCCUUAGCUGUUAUAAAAUAAUCUGGAAUACGUGCGAAUAUUGAGCUGCACGUAAAGUAGAUGAGACACAGUAUUUAGCGAGGUUCGGCUAUGCCUACAUCCCCGGAGAGCAGCAGUAGUAACUUUUCCACUAUGUAAAAUAAUAGGGCUACAACUUUAGAGUUUACAAUAUGUGAGGCUCACUGAAUUUUCUCUCUGCUCACUCACCCUAUUUCUUCCUUCUCUUCCUCCUUUCUCUUUCUUCUCUCUUUCCUUCUUUCCUUUUCUUCUCUCUUUCCUCCUUUCCUUUUCUUCUCCCCGUUUCCUAUCUCUUUCUCUCUUCUUCUUUUCCUCUUCUCUUUCUCUCUUCUUCUUUCUCUAUUUAUAGACAUGUUAAAUGGCACCCGUGUUUCUACAAUACACAUCCGUGAGUGUGCAGCCAAAUACUUUGCUUAAUUUUCUUUGUGGGCCCCAUAAAUGUGGGCUCCACAUGUUUCUUCUUUACAACAUUAGCAAUUUCUUUUGGAGAAAAAAGAGAGGGAAAGCCAAGGAAAGAGAAAUUUUUAAAGAAGUCAAAUGGACAAAUGCCUUGUGAUAUAUAGGUUAAAUUGUAGCUAUGGUUUCUGAAAUAUAGUCCGAGUUGUAUUUUCAUCUUUCAACUUCAAAAAUAGGUGUUUUCCAAUAGGUCUUGCAUUGCAGCGUUUAUCCUUUACGUCAAGUCUGUCUAAUUUACCUCUCAAAAAGUCAACUAAAUUGAUAAUUGUAUACCUCAAAUUGAUGGAAUUUAACGAAAUGACCAAUUUGACAUAUGUGAGAGAGUUGGAGGAUGAGUAAAACUAAAAAAAUUAGUUGAAUGAUCAAAAUGAAACCGGGUAUGACCAUUCGAUNNNNNNNNNNNNNNNNNNNNNNNNNNNNNNNNNNNNNNNNNNNNNNNNNNNNNNNNNNNNNNNNNNNNNNNNNNNNNNNNNNNNNNNNNNNNNNNNNNNNNNNNNNNNNNNNNNNNNNNNNNNNNNNNNNNNNNNNNNNNNNNNNNNNNNNNNNNNNNNNNNNNNNNNNNNNNNNNNNNNNNNNNNNNNNNNNNNNNNNNNNNNNNNNNNNNNNNNNNNNNNNNNNNNNNNNNNNNNNNNNNNNNNNNNNNNNNNNNNNNNNNNNNNNNNNNNNNNNNNNNNNNNNNNNNNNNNNNNNNNNNNNCAAAAAUCUUGAACUCCUUUUAAGAAACUUUUUUGAACCAUUAGAUUAAUAUCUAACGGUGAGUAAUCACAAUCUCUUGGACUCCUGUGGUCCAAGAGAUCAAGACUAUUAAAAAAAGAUAACACGAGCAGUUAUGUUUCAUAAAAGUAGGAUCUAUUAUUUAUUUUAAUUUUUAAUUUUAAUUUAUUUUAAUAUGAAAAAAUAUAAAUUUACUAUAUUAUUCUCAUUUAAUUAAUAAUUUCAAUUCUCAAUUCUUAAUUAUUAUCCUCAUCGAAGUGUUGCCUUGGCUGCUGCUGAAUUGGUUUAUAUAGCUAAAAUGUUUAAAGACAUUGGCUUCUUUCUAGGCACUCCUCCUCUUCUCUGGGUGGACAAUCAACUGCUAUUUCUUUGGCUUCUAAUCGUGUGUUUCAUACCAGGACUAAACACGUGGAGGUUGAUUAUCACUUCACACGAGAAUUGGUGCAAAAUGAUUAAUCAGCUUCCUGACAUUUUUACAAAGUCUCUAUCUUCCUCUCUUUGUGUAUCUUCCAUCCAAGCUUUCAGUUUGUGACACUACCUUCAGCUUGAAGGGGCUGAUAGAUAUAUCUCCACAUCUAAUUCUAGCCUUUCAUUAUAGAGUUGUUAAUUUCUGUUUAGCUUUAUUUUAAUAAAUUGUAAAGCUGUCAUUAAUGUACAUCUAUAUUAUUACAAGUGUAUAUAAACAAUUCAAUGUAAUCAUUAUUGUUUAAUAAAAUGAGAAUACAAUUUUAGUUUUCUCACAAAAUAUUGAAGGAGAAUUAGAAAGUGGAAAAGUCAAGAAGUAGAGGAUUAGUGUCAGGACUUUUAGGCCUGAGGAAACAGUACUGAAGUUGACAAUGAGUAAGAGAUUCUUUGAUAUUAGCAAAACUAACACGACAAACAUGCCAAAUGUUGGGAUUUUGGGUGACUGAUUUUGAAAUUAAAAUGUUGUAGUGGUGACGUUGUCGAAAAUGUUAGGUGAGAGAAGAACAUAUCAUGUAUUCAUUUUCUAGCCAUCUAUAAAUUGUUUUUUUUAAAUAAAAACAUUAACAACAUUACAUGUAAAACUUGACCCCAAAAAUAAAUAAAUAAUUACAUGUAAAACAAUUGAGUGAUGGGGGCCAUUGCAUUAUUCCCCUUUGGAUUUAUGCAUGCAGGAGGAGCUAGUAGGCUUCGCAUUUAUGGGUAGAAUGGACAUUAUUGGACAACCUUAGGUAUGCAUAUAUAGGAAAACGUCCAAAAUCCAUAAAGUUGGGACGUACGUGGUGGUGCAUGCAUGUUGGUAUUUGAUAUUGAUAUUUUAUUCCCACCCAAAAUAUUACAAACGAAUGCAGUCAAAAAAUAACUCAAAACCAGUGCACACUCGCGUCACGUGCUUCUGCAGACACAAACUAGUAAGCAAUUCACAGAGGACAUAGCCACAGAGGGGGAGCAGAUCGAUGCAAAUUAUUAAGUUUUUCUUUAAGCCAAAAAACUCAGCACCGACAUGACUUAAUAAUUAAGAUUACCACAGUAUAUCGAUCUGAUACACUAUCAGAUAAACAAAAAACAAAACAACAAAUUACAGAAAUUGAUCCCUCAAGAAGUAGAUUUCACUUCCAAGCUUUCACAUGCUAUUAAUUAUUAGCUGACACAUAUUAUGCUAAUCAAUUAAACCACAGUGACCACUAAUUGGGAUAUUUAGAACUGUGCUGUGGUGAUGAUCAACUUCAACUAUGCAGGGCACUGGAAUCCAGAGGGUGGAGUUUUCCCACAGUCAAUCAGAACCUGAAGAGCGAUGGGGAUGAUGAUGUUGAUGUUGAGAAGCUUAGCCUUGAUGGUGGUGCAAAGGCAAAUUGCAGCAUCCAAGUCCACCAGCCCUUGAAGCACUGGACAGCAUGCAUCCUUGGCACUGCUGCCAAUUCCAAUGUGAAUGAGGCCACCCAACACAUCCACACAAGCUCCCAACUUGAGAGUGUCGAUGGGACACGUGUUCUUUGGUGGUGAUGGGGUUGGCACUGGUGUUGGUGGUGGUGGAGGAGGACAUGGUGUCUCAGUGGGUGGAGGAGGCUUAACUGGUACAACUGGGGUAGGUGUAGGUGUUGGUGGGCUUGGUGGUACAACAGGUGGUGAUGGUGGUGGCUUAACUGGUACAACUGGGGUAGGUGUUGGUGUUGGUGGGCUUGGUGGUACAACAGGUGGUGAUGGUGGUGGCUUAACUGGUACAACUGGGGGCUUGGGUACAUAGGGUGGUGGGGGUUGUACAACUGGGGGCUUGGGUACAUAUGGUGGUGGUGGUUGUACAACUGGGGGUUUGGGGAUGAAGGGUGGGUGCACAAUUGGGGGUUUAGGGAUAAAAGGUGGGUGCACGAUUGGGGGCUUGGGGAUGAAGGGUGGGUGCACAAUUGGGGGCUUGGGGAUGAAGGGUGGGUGCACAAUUGGGGGUUUAGGGAUGAAGGGUGGGUGCACAAUUGGGGGUUUAGGGAUGAAGGGUGGGUGCACAAUUGGGGGUUUAGGGAUGAAGGGUGGGUGCACAAUUGGGGGCUUGGGGAUGAAGGGUGGGUGCACAAUUGGGGGCUUGGGGUGGGGUGGUGGUUUGACAAUAGGAGGCUUGGGGAUGAAGGGAGGUCUCACAAUAGGUGGUUUGGGGACAGAAGGAGGUUUUGGUAUAUGGGGAGGAUAUACAAUGGGGGGUUUGGGGCCAUGAGGUGGCUUGGGUACAUGGGGUGGAUGAGGAUGAGGUGGCUUUGAUGGUGGCUUGGGAACAUAGGGAGGCUUUACAUGAGGGGGAUGGGGUGGUUUUGAUGGUGGUUUGGGAACAUAGGGAGGCUUUACAUGAGGAGGAAGAGGUGGUUUUGAUGGUGGUUUGGGAACAGAGGGAGGCUUUACAUGAGGGGGAUGAGGUGGGUGUUUAGGUGGUUUAGGGAUGAAGGGUGGCUUUACAUGAGGAGGCUGUUUGGGUGGCAAGUGUGGAGGGUAUGUUGGUGGUGGACAGUAGGAGUUAGCAAGAGAAGUGAGCAAACUACCCAAAUUCACAAUGAGGACUAAGAGCAAAGCCAGG